rnacentral:misc_RNA from 1 species
AAGAGUUAUUACAACUCCCAAACCCAUGUGAACUUACCUUCUGUUGCCUCGGCAGGUCGCGACCUACCCUGUGAGGCCCUACCCUGUAGGACCCUACCUGGUAGUCGCGGGUACGCCUGCCGGUGGCCCAUGAAACUCUGUUUAUUCUUGUUAUUCUGAAUCUAUAACUAAAUAAGUUA